UACGGAGGGUGCAAACGUUGUCCGGAAUCACUGGGCGUAAAGAGCAUGUAGGCGGUUAGAUAAGUGGAUGAUUAAAGACCGAUGCCCAACAUCGGAGCUGUUGUCCAUACUGUCUGACUAGAGGAUGGCAGGGGUAUGCGGAACUUUGGGUGUAGGAGUGAAAUCCGUAGAUAUCCAAAGGAACACCAAUGGCGAAGGCAGCAUACUGGGCCAUUUCUGACGCUGAGAUGCGAAAGCGUGGGGAGCGAACGGG
rnacentral:rRNA from 1 species